UACGGAGGAGGCAAGCGUUAUCCGGAAUUAUUGGGCGUAAAGCGUCCGUAGAUGGUUUUGUCAGUCUGCUGUCAAAGCACAGGGCUUAACCCUGUAAAGGCAGUGGAAACUACAAGACUAGAGUGCAGUAGGGGCAGAGGGAAUUCCCAGUGUAGCGGUGAAAUGCGUAGAGAUUGGGAAGAACAUCCGUGGCGAAAGCGCUCUGCUGGACUGCAACUGACAUUGAGGGACGAAAGCUAGGGGAGCGAAGGGG
rnacentral:rRNA from 1 species